rnacentral:rRNA from 1 species
UCCUACGGGAGGCAGCAGUGAGGAAUUUUCCGCAAUGGGCGAAAGCCUGACGGAGCAAGACCGCGUGAGGGAAGAAGGCUGUUGGGUUGUAAACCUCUUUUGUUACAGAAGAAGAAAGUGACGGUAUCUGACGAAUCAGCCUCGGCUAACUCCGUGCCAGCAGCCGCGGUAAU